rnacentral:tRNA from 4 species
AGGAGUGUAGCUCAAUUGGUAGAGCACCGGUCUCCAAAACCGGGGGCUGCAGGUUCAAGUCCUGCCACUCCUGCCA